GUAACCAUUACAUUAGAUUUUUGGACAAUAUAUGUAAUCAGUUACAAUCAAUUACAUUUACUGGAUUACUUGAAGGCUCUAUAAAGGUUACAAUCCGUAAUAGUUUACAGAUUUUUAAAUAUUUUUUUCAUAUGUUAUUUAUAAAGGUUAUCAAAAAACAUUAUAUACAUAUGCUAUUGGACAUUACCAUACAAAAAUGAGCAAUACAACUUGUUUUGAGCUCAAAAUACAGUGUCCUCCAAGUCAAUUGUGUUCACAAACAAUCAGUACAUCGCUGUUUACUUGGGCAGGUGAAAGUGAAAGUGACUCAGGUCACCAAAAAUAUAUCGUUGCUUUUCAAAGUUGUCCGGUAUCACUCACAAAGUAUGUCUCUUCUAAAUGGCUAAACUGUUUGGAGUGAUCUAAUAAGUUAAUUUCUGCUGGUAAAAAGUUGUUUAAAAUAGAAUUAGAAUAGAAUUUUCAUUCGGUUAUUUUUAGCAUGUGUCACCGCCUUGAGGCUACACAUCACGCUAGUUGCAAAGUUGUAAACAUUUUUUCCAAUUAUGAAACGGGUAUAUCUUCCAUAAUUCUUGACAACGUUGCACCUAAGAUGUGUUUUAAGCAUUUUUUAUGCAAGAGUAACUGAAAUCCGGAAAAAAUAGACUAGUUUAUAUAAAUAAUAAUUAGAUUUGCCACCUUUAUAGGGCCUAUAAUCUGUUUCUUACACUAUUAUUUCACUGGAAUAUUUUCAAUUAAUUGCACUUUUUUACUGGUCGCAAAAAUAUUUUGUUAUGCCCCUCAGUAGGGUGGCAUAUAGCAGUUGAACUGUCCGGGGUUUUUUCAAAGCGGCGCAAUAGGGGGCAUUGUGUUUCUUAGAACACAUCUAUUGUUUAAGUCAUAAUUCCCCCUUUGAAGAGGUGGGGCUAUAUUGUUUCGAAAAUGUCGGUCCGCACUAUCGCGAAUAGUUUUUGUGGGAUCAUCUUUAAGCUUUCUUACUGUACAUGUGGGCAAAGCCCAUGGCCAAGUUUGAUUAUCAGCUAAAUGUACCAGUUACUUUUGGAUUUUGGCUUUUGAGUUGUCCAAAAUGGAAAGAAUGGGUCAUGUAUGCUCUCUAAUGGACGAGUUUGAAAAUGGUUAUGGUUGGUUGGAAAACAUUGCCACCAGGGGCCCGGGCAUUUUUACUUCUAUGGCGAUAGUAAAACCUUGUAAGCGCUCUAAAUGUUACAUUUAUUGUUCACAAUUUAUGAAAUUUUGUCAGAAGAUUUGUCUCAAUGAUAUCUUGGAUUAGUUCAAAAAUGGUUACGUUUGCUUGAAAAACAUGGCUGCCAAGGGGCAGGGCAUUUAAACCAGGUUUUUCGAAGAAAAAAACUUGUUAUUAGAUUGGCAAAUGUCGGCGGGCGGGCGGAACAAGCUUGUCCAAGUCAUAACUUUGUCGUUCAUUGUCAGAUUUUAAAAUCAUUUGGUACAUUUGUUCACCAUCAUUUGACGGUGUGUCCCGCGAAAGUAUUACGUCGAUAUCUCCAAGAUCAAUGUCACAAUUUGACUUUGAAGGUAAAAAAUGAGCUUCUCCGGGCCAUAACUUUGUCAGUCAUUGUCAGAUUUUUAAAUCAUUUUCCUCAUUUGUUCACCAUCAUUAGAAGGUGUGUCGCGCGAAAGAAUUACGCCGAUAUCUCCAAGGUCAAGGUCACAAUUUGAGUUUGAAGGUCAAAAACGGUGGUCAAUGGACUUUUUUCAACUGAAAACAUGGUUUUGUGACAAUUUUGUCCCAUGUUCCUUAUAUGGUAUAGUAAAAUCUUGUUUACACUCCAGAGACCACAUUUAUUGCUCAAUCUUCAUGAAAUUUUGUCAGGAGAUUCAUCUCAAUUCUAUCUUAGACGAGUUCGAAAAUGAUGCCGGUUGGUUGAAAAAAUUGCCGCCAGGGGGCGGGGCAUUUUUCCUUAUAUGGCUAUAGUCAAUCAAACCUUGUUAACACUCUAGAAGCCAUAUUUAUUGCCUGAUCUUCAUGAAACUUGCUCAGAUGAUUUGUCCCAAUGAUAUCUUGGAUGAGUUAAAAAUGGAAACCUUUGCUUGAAAAACUUGGCUGCCAAGGGACGGGCAUUUUUCGUUGUAUGGCUAAAGUAAAAUCUUGUUAACACUCUAGAGGCUACAUUUAUUGCCUGAUCGUAUCGAGACUUGGUCAGAAAAUUCGAAAAUAAUGCUUGUUGGUUGAAAAAAUGGCUGCUAGGGGGCGGGGCAUUUGUCCUAUUUAGCUAUAGUAUAGCCUUGUUAACACUCUAGAGUUCACAUUAAAUUUCCGAUCAUCAUGAAAUUUGGUCAGAAGAUUUGUCCCAAUGAUAUCUUGAAAUAGUUUGAAAAUUGUUUUGGUUGCUUUAAAAUGAUGGCCACCAGGGGCAGGGCAUUUUUCUAUAUAUGGCUUUAGUAAAACCUUGUUAAUACUCUAGAAGCCACAUUUAUUGUCCAAUUUUCAUGAAACUUGGUCAAAAGAUUUGUCCCAAUAAUAUCUUGUUAUCUCAGGUGAGAGACAUAUCUUGUUUGGAUAUGUAUCUAUCAGCAAAUAAAAUAUAUUUUGUA